UGGCCAAGCUUCUUACCUCUCCCUGGGUUUAGCUUGCACUUUCUUUUCAGGUGUCUCACCUCUGAGGUAGAAAAAACCCAUGGGUCUGUCUACUGCACAAAAUCUAAACCUGUAUCCUGCCCACUUUUCACGAUGACCCACUGUUGGAGCAAUAGAGAACUCUGCAAGCAGGGAAAUCACAGAAUAGAAGAAGAAAGAAUUAAAAGACAUCAUUGGAACUUACAGAAGAAGGGCCAUGUGAAGACACAAAGAGAAGAUUGCCGUGUACAAACCAAGGAGACAGGACUCUGAAGAAACCAAAACUGCCAAUGACUUGAUCUUGGGCUUCUAGCCUUCAGAACCAUGAUAAAUAUUUUUGUUUAAGCCAAAAAUAAAAAGACAUAAUUGAUUUUUUUAAAAAGCCAUUUUAAUGUGUAAGUUGUUCUGGUGAUAACAAUUAUGAAUCUUUAGUGAGGAUGGGGGAAGGCUCCUAUGCCUCCUUAUCCUCUUGCAAUCUUAACAAAAAUUGCUGUGAUGUGUUUUAGAUGAUGGUGAAGUGGCUAUGGCCUAAGCCUUACAUUCUCUGCCCAGUGGCCUGGUAUCUAGACAUAUGCCUAUUCUACCGUGGAAAGUCUGGCCCACCCUCACUAAAUCACCGAAGAAAGGCACUACAUUAAGUUCUUAUUCAUUUCUUUCUUAAAACUUCACAAGUCCUGUAUAAGUGAAAAAAAGAAGACUAUUUCUAUUUGGAACUAAAAAUUUUAUUUUCUAAAUGAAACUCAAGUUUCUUAUAUAAUAUAUUGGUUGUUAUACUUCCUAGUAAUCCCUGUAAAACUCAGUAACUUAUAAAGUUAUAUGGCCACAUAUAUGUAUGUGUGUGCGCGUGUAUGAACAAUUCAUGUGAUUACCAAUGUGGACUGAAAGAGACUUAGAGAAAUGUCAUACUGACCAUGCUACUUACCCAAAGCAGGAACAGUCUUACAUUAUUUUAAACAACUGGACCACUUAGAUUUUUUAUAAAGGGGAGUUCCUGAAGAGCUGAAGAGAGGUGGGAAAGACUAAUAUUUAUUAAA